rnacentral:rRNA from 1 species
UACGUAGGGUGCAAGCGUUAAUCGGAAUUACUGGGCGUAAAGCGUGCGCAGGCGGUUGUGUAAGACAGAUGUGAAAUCCCCGGGCUCAACCUGGGAACUGCAUUUGUGACUGCACAGCUGGAGUGCGGCAGAGGGGGAUGGAAUUCCGCGUGUAGCAGUGAAAUGCGUAGAGAUGUGGAGGAACACCGAUGGCGAAGGCAGCCCCCUGGGUCAAGAUUGACGCUCAUGCACGAAAGCGUGGGGAGCAAACAGG